rnacentral:rRNA from 1 species
CCUACGGGCGGCUGCAGUGGGGAAUAUUGGACAAUGGGGGCAACCCUGAUCCAGCCAUGCCGCGUGUGUGAAGAAGGCCCUCGGGUUGUAAAGCACUUUCAGUGAGGAAGAACGCCUGGUGGUUAAUACCCAUCAGGAAAGACAUCACUCACAGAAGAAGCACCGGCUAACUCCGUGCCAGCAGCCGCGGUAAUACGGAGGGUGCGAGCGUUAAUCGGAAUUACUGGGCGUAAAGCGCGCGUAGGUGGCUUGAUAAGCCGGUUGUGAAAGCCCCGGGCUCAACCUGGGAACGGCAUCCGGAACUGUCAAGCUAGAGUGCAGGAGAGGAAGGUAGAAUUCCCGGUGUAGUGGUGAAAUGCGUAGAGAUCGGGAGGAAUACCAGUGGCGAAGGCGGCCUUCUGGACUGACACUGACACUGAGGUGCGAAAGCGUGGGUAGCAAACAGGAUUAGAUACCCGGGUAGUC